GGCACACCGGUUUCCUCCACUGGCACCGCGCCCACCAGCCAGUCUCCCAAAGAAUACACAGUGACCAGGGGUGACAAGGGCAUAAUCUACCACCCACUCGUUCUCUUCCACCUGUGCACAAGGCAGACGCAGCCAAGAGGGAGUCAGCCGGUGGGGCUGCCCUCCCCACCACGCCUCCCUCACAGUCACCAAAGGACUUACCAUGACGGAACAGGUGCAGUACACGAGGUAGCCGCCUGUCUUGGAGGUGGCGUUGACAGAAUCGAUAGCGCUCAGAAGCAGCUCCUUCUGCAGCAGGGUCCUUGGAGAUGACACCAGUGCCACUACAAGGAGCAUCCAACAGGACGCGGUCAAAGCCACCCACCACCUGUGGACAGGGGAAUGUCAGCCACAUGCUGCUGCCACCUGCAGAGCAGCCUUUCCUGCUAUCGCAGGGGAGCGUCCCACCUUGGGGAACUGGCGCCCGUCGUAAUGGCUGAUUAUGGCGUUGGUGACUCCCAGCCGGUGCAGGUUGCCCACGACACUCUUGAGCCGCUCGGCAUUGGCAUCAUUGGCGAGGAUCACACCCGUGUUCUUCAUCAGUUGGGCUGGAGGGAGGAACCAGAGCUGAGAGCCCAACCCUCUGCCUCCAGCCCAGGAAUGUGCAAGGCCACAGCACCUCCCUGCAGCCCAACUUCACCUGACAAGUUGUACUCCCGCCAGCAUGGGUCUGCCCAGCCCACUCCGGCCCAGUGGCUUCCAUUCCUGUGAACAGCUUUCUGGCCACCGGACUAACUCACUGCUGUUAAGUGACACCACCUCGUAAAAUGACUC